UACAGAGGGUGCGAGCGUUAAUCGGAAUUACUGGGCGUAAAGCGCGCGUAGGCGGCUUUUCAAGUCGAUUGUGAAAUCCCCGGGCUUAACCUGGGAACUGCAGUCGAGACUGUCUAGCUAGAGUAUGAGAGAGGGAAGUGGAAUUUCAGGUGUAGCGGUGAAAUGCGUAGAUAUCUGAAGAAACAUCAGUGGCGAAAGCGACUUCCUGGACCAAUACUGACGCUCAUGUGCGAAAGCGUGGGGAGCAAACAGG
rnacentral:rRNA from 1 species